GAAUUUGUAAUUUGUUCUGAAUUGUCCCACCAGUUGUAAUUUUGCCCAAAUUAAUCUGAGGUGGCAGUCGGAUUGCCAACGUGACAGUCGGAAUUGCCAACGUGGCUGCCGGAAUUGCCAAAUCACACACACUACUCUCUCUCUCAUACACACACACACAAACACACUCACUGCACUUCACUCACACACACACAGCCCCACCCCUUUCUUCCUUCUCCGGCGCCGCCGCCGCCGCCACCCUCUCAUCCCAUAACCACAGCAGCAGCCGCCGGCGGAGCGACGACCGCCGCUGCACAUCUCCCUCGCUCGUCUCUCCCCUACUUCGGUCUCUCUCUCUCUCUCCUCUGCACACACAUAUACAACCACAGCAGCAGCCGGCGAAGCGACGACCGCCGCUGCACAUCUCCCUCUCCCUCGCUCGUCUCUCCCCUACUUCGGUCGAAACGACGGCAGAGCCGCCGCCGCCGAGCCCUAGGCUCCCAAACCCUAGAUCCCUAAAUCCAGCCACCCCUUUCCCCAAAAUUUCCAGUGACGACUCGGGGAAAAAAUGGAGAGAAAUGAGGAAGAAGUAAUGCAAGACAAGAAAGAGAAUAGCUGCUGCAUUAUCACCUGCUGCUGCUGUUUCUUUAUUUCAAUUUGGGGUUAAUUUCGCCCAAAAUGGGUUUGAUGUGGAUGAUAAUUGAGGCUUAUCUGUUGUUGUCGAGAAUUUUCUCUUGCCAUCGGUCGAGAGAUGGGGGGGAGGUGCUGC
rnacentral:lncRNA from 1 species